rnacentral:rRNA from 1 species
AGUGAACGCUGGCGGCAGGCCUAACACAUGCAAGUCGAACGAGUGGCGGACGGGUGAGGAAUAUAUGGGAAACUACUUGGUCGAGGGGGAUAACGUAGGGAAACUGACGCUAAUACCGCAUACCAUGGGAUGAGCCGAGGUCGGAUUAGCUAGUUGGUGGGGUAACGGCACACAAAGGCGACGAUCCCUAGCUGGUCUGAGAGGAUGAUCAGCCACACUGGAACUGAGACACGGUCCAGACUCCUACGGGAGGCAGCAGUGGGGAAUAUUGCACAAUGGGCGCAAGCCUGAUGCAGCCAUGCCGCGUGUGUGAAGAAGGCCUUCGGGUUGUAAAGCCCUUUUGUUGGGGAAGCGUUACCCAAAGAAUAAGCACCGGCUAACUCCGUGCCAGCAGCCGCGGUAAUUC